GAUGAUAGACCACAGCUUGCUGGGUGGAUUAGUGGCGAACGGGUGAGUAACACGUGAGUAACCUGCCCCUGACUCUGGGAUAAGCGUUGGAAACGACGUCUAAUACUGGAUAUGAUCACUGGCCGCAUGGUCUGGUGGUGGAAAGAUUUUUUGGUUGGGGAUGGACUCGCGGCCUAUCAGCUUGUUGGUGAGGUAAUGGCUCACCAAGGCGACGACGGGUAGCCGGCCUGAGAGGGUGACCGGCCACACUGGGACUGAGACACGGCCCAGACUCCUACGGGAGGCAGCAGUGGGGAAUAUUGCACAAUGGGCGAAAGCCUGAUGCAGCAACGCCGCGUGAGGGAUGACGGCCUUCGGGUUGUAAACCUCUUUUAGUAGGGAAGAAGCGAAAGUGACGGUACCUGCAGAAAAAGCACCGGCUAACUACGUGCCAGCAGCCGCGGUAAUACGUAGGGUSCAAGCGUUGUCCGGAAUUAUUGGGCGUAAAGAGCUCGUAGGCGGUUUGUCGCGUCUGCUGUGAAAUCCCGAGGCUCAACCUCGGGCUUGCAGUGGGUACGGGCAGACUAGAGUGCGGUAGGGGAGAUUGGAAUUCCUGGUGUAGCGGUGGAAUGCGCAGAUAUCAGGAGGAACACCGAUGGCGAAGGCAGAUCUCUGGGCCGUAACUGACGCUGAGGAGCGAAAGCAUGGGGAGCGAACAGGAUUAGAUACCCUGGUAGUCCAUGCCGUAAACGUUGGGCGCUAGAUGUAGGGACCUUUCCACGGUUUCUGUGUCGUAGCUAACGCAUUAAGCGCCCCGCCUGGGGAGUACGGCCGCAAGGCUARAACUCAAAGGAAUUGACGGGGGCCCGCACAAGCGGCGGAGCAUGCGGAUUAAUUCGAUGCAACGCGAAGAACCUUACCAAGGCUUGACAUACACCGGAAACGGCCAGAGAUGGUCGCCCCCUUGUGGUCGGUGUACAGGUGGUGCAUGGUUGUCGUCAGCUCGUGUCGUGAGAUGUUGGGUUAAGUCCCGCAACGAGCGCAACCCUCGUUCUAUGUUGCCAGCGGGUUAUGCCGGGGACUCAUAGGAGACUGCCGGGGUCAACUCGGAGGAAGGUGGGGAUGACGUCAAAUCAUCAUGCCCCUUAUGUCUUGGGCUUCACGCAUGCUACAAUGGCCGGUACAAAGGGCUGCGAUACCGUAAGGUGGAGCGAAUCCCAAAAAGCCGGUCUCAGUUCGGAUUGAGGUCUGCAACUCGACCUCAUGAAGUCGGAGUCGCUAGUAAUCGCAGAUCAGCAACGCUGCGGUGAAUACGUUCCCGGGCCUUGUACACACCGCCCGUCAAGUCAUGAAAGUCGGUAACACCCGAAGCCGGUGGCCUAACCCUUGUGGAAGGAGCCGUCG
rnacentral:rRNA from 1 species